AGGCACACCUGGCAUUGAGCGCAAGGAAAACAUCUAAAACUUUCCCAUACUAAUUUCCUGAGGACUUGAACUACAUUUGUUAGAAGUUUUUUCGCAAUUAACAAGAAAUACUCGACAAAGACGGUCAACCAGACCACCAUCUCAUCUAGUUCGUUCAACUUCCACCGUUAAAACGAGGGUGAGGCAAGAAAAGGGAGAAAAGGAAGUGUGAAAAACUGCAAAAGAGACCGCAUACGAAGAUAGAUACACACGUCUCUCUGUGGUGGACUUGCUGUCCACAUGGUAAGCGUUUUUGAGUUGUUUAACUUUCUUUGAAUGAAUUGCUAUAGGGAUAAUGACCAGCUUUAACAGACUAAAUUGUCUUUCUAGAGUGAAAUGUUUUUUUUUGAAAUAAAUGUCUAAUCCCUUCACCCAUGUGCUUCUAAUCUUCACAGACUCCAUGAAUUGAUUUGGUCACAUGAUCAAUUUCUUUUGCCAUUUCCAAGCAACAGGGGGUGGCUUAACUUACCCUUUGGCUCAACUUACCACACUCUCCCCUAUUCAACAGAAGGAACUUUUAUUGCAAUUGGAGUGUGAAGUUUUGCUGUUUUAAUAUUACAAACAACUUUAAAUGGUGAAAAUUCAUCAUGCCUGGGGUUAAAUUCCAAGGAUUUGCCAUCCGUCCCCGCUUAUCACAUCCAAUAAUACAGUGUGUUCGGAAAAACAACCUGGAGGAGCUUGAAAAAUUAUUGGAGGAUAAAGGAACUGACCAUCUUUACCAGUGCAUCAAAUGUCAGGACUCAAUAACACCACUGAUUGCUGCUGUUUUAAGCCGCAAUAAGGAGAUAUGUACUUUUCUUUUGCUAAAAGGUGCAAACCCAAAUGUGGUUUCAAAAAAAGGCUUCACAGCUUUGCAUUAUGCCUUAAAAGAAAAAGCACCACUUUGGUUUGUGGAGAAGCUGAUUGAGGCAAAAGCUAAUCCAAACAUAGUUGGACCAAACAAUGGCUCAUGCUUACAAACUGCUGCUAUUUUGAACAGGGAGGACAUCUUUGAAAAGCUCAUUUCUGCAGGUGCAGUGGUAACAGUGUCACCCAUUACUGAACCUGAUAAAAUGUUUCAGAUGAUUCAUAACCUUGCACAAAAAGGGAAUGAGUUGUGCUCCAAAGUCAGCUGUUUUCUGGACUUGGAAAUUGCUAUAAGAGAUAAAACCUCUACAGAAGUGUUUGAAACCUUUCACAGUCACAUGCUGCAGGAGAAUCCUCAGUCUCAUCUAAUCAUGAUUGAGAUACUUUUGAAUGCAACAGGGAAAGAUGGAGAAAUGUAUCGCCAUAAGAGUAUCAAAUGGCUGAAAGAAACUGGCAAUGUGGAUGCUUAUAUUACAAGUGCAGCCAGUCGCUUUCCAAAGCUUAAGAAGAGUAUUCUACGUCAGGUUAUUGACACUUUGUAUCUUGUUCUGUGUAUUGUUGAAGAGAUACAAAAGGAGCAGGCCUGUAUCCUGAUCCCUUUACUACUGACAGAGCUUGGCCUGGGUAUGAUACCGGGUAAAUAUGAUAUUAUUCUGCAAACACUUUAUGUGAUAACACAGAAGACAAAAAUCAAAAAUGGCGGGGAUUCUCCCUUAACUGAGAAACUAUGUCGCUCAUUAGCUCCUUUUGCGCAGAGCAUACGCCCCAUUGACCAAAGGGUCUUCACAUACGGCAUAUUUGGAAACUUGCUCUCGUUUGAAAAUGGGGCUAGCGUCCUCAUAUCAGCAGGGAUAACUUCUGUGCCUGAUGAUAUCCUGACAUCUGCAGAAACGCAAAUGCUAAAAGAUCUUAAAGAAGUAAUCAGACGACUGAAAAGUCACCUGAAGAAACCAAACUCAGAAUGUGAAGACCUACAUGGAACAAAGAAAAAGGGGGAAAGGUCAGAGAGUCAAGAAGACCCAAACAAUGCUGAAGUCUCCACUUCUGCAACUGAGGUUACAGCAGCUGAGCCAUUAGAUAUUAAAACCUCUGCAUUGUCAACAAAACACAGAUGGUUUCCAGUCGGCAAGAGGUGGAGAGAAAAACUCCAGAAGCUGUCUGACGAAAGUAAAGUAAUCAGAGCAGGGAGCAUGAUUUACGUGAAUAGUGGAGAGUUUCGAAUUGCUAAGGGCAGCGAUGGUACAGAAGUGUUCUUGGGGCUCAGAGAUGACGGCACUGAAGUUGCUAUAAAGAGAAUGUCCAAGAGCAACUAUGAGGUCCUGAAGAAUGAGGAAGGGUUUCUACGACUUCCAGAACUGGAUCAUCCAUCUAUCGUGCGAUAUGUGGACUUUGCAGAGGAUGAGUACUUUGGAUAUCUUGGUCUCCAACUUUGUGAAUCCUCCCUCGAUGAACUCAUCACCAUCAAUAAAGAUGGUGGCUCACAGAAGGAAGAUCUUGUCCAUCAGGUCCUUGAGAGUUUGAGGGUGCUCCAUGGUCAAAAACCUCCAAUUCUCCACCGGGAUCUCAAACCACCAAAUGUUUUGAUUGGUAAGACAAGUUGAACAUAUAUUAAGAUUAUGUUUGAAAGUUGACCAUUUUAAGAGAUAAUUUUUUUUUUUGCAGAUGUUAAUGGAAGGGCAAGAUUAGCUGAUUUUGGCAUCAGUAGACAGUUACCCAAAGGCCAAACAACUUAUCGCACAGGGGCUGCUGGAACAAAGUGCUGGAAGGCCAAAGAGACCUUAGCAGAAGGAGAUGACAUACCAUACAAAUCCAGCACUGAUAUACAGGCAAGUUCUUUCACUCCCACUAAUUUGAUGACUUCUUGAAAAACCACUUCCUUAAUUGCUUUUGUAAAUCCUUAAGGUGGCAGGCAUGCUGAUUUAUUACAUCCUUUCUGGGGGACACCAUCCUUUUGGGGACAAAGCCUAUGAAUGUGAGUACAACAUUUCCAAAGGGACCUACAAUCUGGACCAUGUCAAAGAUAUGGUGGCAAAGGACCUCAUUGAGUGGAUGAUAAAUGAAGAUCCAAAGAAGAGACCCACGAUUGAAGAAUGUCUGAGCCAUCCUUUCUUUUGGAAAGCAGUGAGGUAAGAAAGAAAAGCUGGUGGACUGAUAAUUUUUUUUUUAUCUUAUUACAAAAAAUAUACAAGCAUUUGUAUCCAUGCAAGUUAACAGAUGUAGAAUGAGGAUAUUUAGUAAGAUUCUUGUAUGGGACAUUUCCUCGCCAAUCUCCCUAGUCACU
rnacentral:lncRNA from 1 species